rnacentral:lncRNA from 1 species
AGCCGACUAACAUGCUACCAGAGCCUGUCCACCCUUCUUCAAAUAAUGGUGGCCACAGAGUGCAUCUGCUCUGGGGGACCCAUCGCUCAUAUACCCUCCCAUAAGAGCAGGAAAGGGGAUUCAUAAAGACGUUCUUCUGAUGGGGAAUGCUCUACGAGGCCGCCUUCACAUGGUGAGUAGUGACCGUGACACCUCUGCAGCGUCCCUGGUCACUUGUAGCCCCUGAAAGGGUCAUCGGGAGCAGAUCACUUCUUUUCUUCAGGGCUGGAGAAAGUACCUCCGUGCAUUUUCCAGUGUGGAAGAUGAUCAAAGUAUGACAUUUCUUCUACCCCAGAGGCUGGCAUUUCUGCAGGCACAAAUGAGCUUGGUUUUCAAGCACUGCUCUUUGAACACAAGGAAUUCCUUUAAUGAUCACGCCGGACUAUAUAGACUUUGGAAUCAGACUCUUUGAAUUCCAGCUCUGCCAUUUACCAACUUUGACACUUUGGGGUUUUGGAAAUCUGGAUUGUAGCAGGGCAUUGUGGAUCUGCCUGUUGGUGGAGAACCCUAGACUGCAUGCAGCCAUGCACAUGAUCUGGAGACACAGCAGGUCAUCCUCAGCAUUUAUACUCUCUCUCCUUUUGUGCCCCCAUGGACCAAGUUAAGAAGGUGUAGGCUUCAAAUCUUAAGAUCGGUCACCACAAAAUUCAAAAAGACAAGGUCUUUGUCUGUUGCUCAGGAUGGAGUGUAGUGGUGCCAUAGCACACUGUAAUCUUGAAUUUCUGGACUACUGGCAUACACCACCAUGCUUAGGUUCGGGCCACAACAUCCGUGACUUUACCGGUUUUGGUCUCUUCCUUGUAACUUUCGGCUCCAGGAUGCUGCGCAGCUCCUCUCUGCACUAUCUAUCAGAACGUUGCUCUGCGUGCUUGAAAGUUUCGCCAAACAGAAGUACACAAAAACAAACAGAGGCGAAACACAAAUCCCCUCAGCCCUGGAGGAAAAGGCCUUGAAGCUCUUCCAGUGCAGAGGCCACGCAGAGGACAUGCUCCUACCUGUGCACAUCGGCCACGCCUGGGGUGCCUCCUGGAGUCCAGGCUGCUGGCGAUGGAAUCCAUCAUGUUGCUGAUGUCACUACUCUCAACUCCUGAUGGCAUCAGAACACAGGCAGCAUCAAGAUCAGGCUCAAGAUGCAGGAUUUUAUCAUCCAAAUCAGGCCCACAUAUGGAUGAAACCCUUCAGGUAUUCUGCACAUCUCUCAGGAAACCCAGAUGAAAUUGAGUGCCUGCUGCCCACAUCAGCAACCCAGACAUCCCACUUGAUUCUGCUUCUGGAGCCUAAGAUGGGAAAAUGGCAGGUGUCGCAGGUUGCAGGGGAAGGUCGGAGACCAGUUGAGGGCCCCGGAGUCUGUCUGGAAAGAGUUUUCCAUCCAGCCCGUCUCGGUUUCCGCAUCCGUGUGAGUCCUUUAUGACGUCGGGAAUGCCAAGGUCUGAGUCCUUUAUGAUGUUCAGGGUGCCCCGGUCUCACCCCGGGAGCCUCCUCGCUCCGGCCUGCUCCUGGCUACCCGGUGGGCGGCUCUGGCCCCAGCGACCCGCUACUGUUUCUCCAUGCGCUGCCACUUCGCAAAGGCACAUCUCUAGGUCAGUGGUCAGCUGCAGCCAGGGCGCUGCAACUCGCUCCAGGACUCGGGAAUCAGGGCCUUGGUGGGCCUCGCAGAGUGCUGGGUGUGUCGCCUGCGGGCUCCUCUUUUGGAGAAAGGAGGGAGGGAAAGGCCUUGUGAGACGACUCCAGGAGCGACCAGCGACCCCCACAAGGCCCAAGUCCUCCCAGCGCACUCAGAAACAGUCACUUAAAUGGCAAUAAGGUUGAGAAAGACUCUCCCGUGCCCCCGUGCUGGUGUAGUGGCUGUGAUUCAGUCCUUUCACCACCGCAUCCCGGGUUCGAUUACCGGUCAGGGAGUUGUUUUGCACUGACUGCCCACCCGCAGUAAUCUUUCUUUACUCCGCUGUCAGCCGGCCUGCUCCAAGAGCCAGAGGCAGAAGAGUCUCCCUGCAAGGUGCAAACCCUGGCGAAGGAGGGCAAGUCCUGGUGGACGGCCUCUCAUGACACACCCUCUUAUUUAUCUCCGUGUCCACCAUUCGCAGAAGGGGCUUUAGAGAGCGACUGAGCGUCUCGCUCAGGUGUACACCACCGUGCAGAGAUGGCAGCUCUCCUGGAGGUGUACCCAAGAAGCCCACCAUCUUUGCCGCCUCCGCCAUCCCAGAGGCGCCGAUUGGGCUGAGCUGCAAAUAACUAAGAGAGAGAGAGGCCAAGCCAAGUCGUGGCGUUUGUGUGCGGCACACGUCGUCAGCUGACACAGGCGGUCAGCUGAGCCUCCUCACCUCAGUUCGCAGCUAACAUGCUUCUUAGGCCUUCGGAAGAGGCGACAGGAGGCGAUGGCCGCGAGGUUGGGAGGGGGGUGAGCGGCGGGUGAGGUCCUCCAGGACCGCCCAUUUAUUGACUGGGUGGUACAGGAGGGCGAUGUUCGCUUACCCAACAACGACAGCAGGUGGAGUAGGCACUAAUGGAAAACUGUGGCCGGUGCCCUAAGCAGAAGGCAGGUGUAAAAAUCACUAGGACAUCAAAGGGAUAGUACCACAGUCAAAUCCCGCAAUGUCUGUCUACACUCUACCAAGCAAUUGUGCACCCUCCCCCUUUUCCAUUCAGUACUCCCAAGAAGGGUUGGGACGAACCCUGUGUCCACUGUAAAGCUCAGGGGAGAGCGGGAGCGAGGGAGGUGAAGUGCACAGACUGGGCAGAGGCGGCGGGCAGAACUGCGGGGGUGAGAGGGCGCGGUGGCUGCGGGGCGGGAGCCUCUGCUGAAAGGAGGCCUGGGUUGUCCUGUGGGUGACUGUUGGUGGAAUCUUUGGCAGCGAGUGGUUGGAAGAAUGGCGACGGGCGAGCAGAGGGGAAGGUGGUGACCCUGAGCGUCUGGCUAGGGGAGAGGAGGCUGUACUGACACUCGUCUCCUCUUACCUGGCGAGGGACAGACCGUGGUCAAGAAGGGAGCUCUCCCUGGUUGAGGCUAGUCCACCACACUCCAGCUGCUCUGACCCCUGCGAUUUCCCUACACGCGGGGCGCUUGUCUGCGGUGGUGUUUGCGCUACCCGGGGGCUGGGUUCACGCAGGCUCCUGACAGUCCUUGGCUCACCGCCCCCGACGCGGAUAUCGCCGCUAGAGACCCUUCCGCCACCCUCCUAGGGAUCUUGAGGGCCUUCCUUGUUGUUCCGACUGAAGCUCACGAACAGACAGAUGUGAGCUCUCUGUCUUUUACACGUUGAAUUUGGCUAUUGGCAAAAAAAGCCCUGACCCAGAGCUUGGGACUCCUCCCGGCCUGCACACGACUUCCCGACUCUUGCCUCCUAGCGCGGCUCUUGGCUAGCGGGCGGGCAGCCUCCACCCAGCGUAGAACCGCGGCAGCCGCAGCCCCCGCAGGCUGGCGGUCAGACACUAGCAGGAAAAGGGACACAAGGCCUGCGUGGUGGGAAAGCAUGGGAGACGUCGCUUUCCCACCAGGCGAGAAGGUCUCCCUACAGUCUUUGGACAGAAGAUGGAGGGAGGCACCCCUUCCAGGAGCAAGGCGGCUGCUCCUGAGGCCUGGCUCCGCACGGAGGCUCCUGGGUCCCGCGCGCCCUCUCCCUACCGGUUAUAGCCAGAGCUGCUUCACACAUCUCAGCCGGCUUCCUCUUCCGCCUCUGCCACCUCUUCCUCCCCAGCUCGUGGGAAAGACCUAGCCUCCUCUCCAACACUUGGAGAGGGAGUUGGAUGAACGUCUCCUAACCCCAGUAGGACAGAGAUCCUGAGGUAGGAGGGGACCCCUUGCCUUGCUGCUUCUUUUGGCACCGCUGACCCGGGCCCAGGACUCCUCGCUCCUCCUGGAAGGCCUGGGUCGUGUAGCCCACAGAGGUGGCCACGUGGGCAUCUCCCCCACUGCUCCUCAUAGAACCGGAGGCAUUAUCCUGCCGGGCCCACUCUUACCCAUGAAAGAAACUUGGGAAAUGCUCCCGGGGAAGCCGGGGAUCUGGGCGCUCGACCACUUCGGUGUGAAUCUUCCGUCCGCUCAUCCUUCCUUCGGAGGGUCUUGGGGAGAGGAGAAAUGCUCAAGGACGAUGCGCUUUGCAGCGUCUCAAGGGAAACUAGAUCUCAACGGAUACCAGAAGUCUGGAGCGUCUUCCUGGAGGAAGGCGGCCCGAGGCCUGCGGUUGCAGGGAGGCUUGCGGAGCACAGCGCCCUCUCUCAGCCUGAGCUAUCCAGUGGCUUCCAGCAUCCCAGCUGGCCGACUCCACUUCCUCUCUCUUCCUCCUACUGCGGGUCUUCUUCUUCUCUUUGGGGACCGAAUCUCGCUCUGUCGCCCAGGCUGGAGUGCAGUGGCGCGAUCUCGGCUUACUGCAACCUCCGCCUCCCGGGUUGAAGCGAUUCUCCUGCCUCAGCCUCCCGAAUAGCUGGGACUACAGGCGCGUGCCACCACGCCCGGCUAAUUUUUUGUAUUUUUAGUUGAGACGGGGUUUCACCCUGUUAGCCAGGAUGGUCUCGAUCUCCUGGCCUCUUGAUCCGCCCGCCUCGGCCUCCCAAAGUGCUGGGAUUACAGGCGUGAGCCUCCGCGCCCGGCCUACUGCGGCUCUUCUAUCCUGGUGUUCUUUGAAUGCCUAUCUUCCUUUUGUGCCACAGAACCUCUCACGCCCGCCACAGGUUGCUCAUUUCCUUGGUUGUUCUGAACUUUAAAUAAGUUAAUGUAUGUAAGAGUGCCAUAAAUGCUCAGUAAUUGACAUCUGUUAUUUUCAUCAGUAACAUCAUCUGAAUCAUCUGUAUUGUCUAUUUUUAACAACUGCAUUUUUCAUUGUCCAAAUAAAGUCACAUACAUUUGAACAUUAUAUAAUGAUUGAAUAAUAAAAUUAUUCUGCUAUUUUACAAUAAAAA